GUCACCUAGGGAAGCAUGUGCAACUAUUCACCCAUCUUCAACCUUCCUUCCCCCACUCUCUAGCCGACCCCCUCUGCCUCCAUCUUUCUUCUUCAUGUUAGCUUCAUGCCGCCGCAGAUCGCCAGCACCCAUUCGCUUGGACCUAACCAUUGCUAUCGUUGUGCCUCACCAUCGAGCCACCGGUUGUUGUUUCGUUCGCGCAUCGGUCGAAUCUCCGGCGUGCAGGUGAGCCGCCGUGCGUGUUCUCUAUAGGUCACUGCCGUUCUUGUGGGUCUCACCAAAUUUUGAUCGGAUUCUAGUUCAAUUUGGAAGGAAGUUUGAAGGCAUGAACGUGGUAUCCAAUGAUUUUAAAGAUUUUAUAUUUGAAGUUUUGAAGGGUUUUACUGAGCUGUCCACGGAGUUAAAGGUUAGUUUUGAGGCAAUUUUAUAUUCAAGGUCAAUUUGGGUAAAGUGUCAUGGUUUCUUUAGAGUGAAUCUAAUUUUUUUUUUGGGGGGCGGCUUGAAGAGGAUAAAAUUAAUUAUAUAUUGUGUUCUAGGAUUUACACCAAGAAGUUUUCAAGCUAUGAAGAUUGGGUUGAUUCAUUGAGCUAAGAUAAGUAAUUUACUAUCGGUUUGCGCUCGAACCCUAAGUUGAUGUUAAGACUGGGAAUACACUGAAAGCAUGUUUAUUACAUUAUGUUAUUGCUUGAUAUGAACUUGGACGAUGUAUGUUGCAUGUAGAUUGUGGUGGUUGUUAGAUUGUGGUGGUUGUUAUCAUUCCUAUCGGACUGUGUUCACUGAGUAUGAUUCGCCAUCCUUAUGGGAUCGCCACCUACGAUCAUGUUAUUGCAACUCUUCGGAGUCACUUGUUUUAUGAGGGUGUGCCUUUGGGUUCGCCCCUUAUGCUUAUAUUCGGAAUGUACACCUUUGUCUUGAUAGGAAAGUUGACAGGUACAUCUAGUGGGCCACUUAUUGGGUAUUUUUUUACUCACUCUACUAUCUACAUUUUUUUCCGGUAAAGGAAACGGCAGAACGACAAAUGACAAGAAGAAUUCGUGACCAGGCCUUGGGACUAGAUAUCGCUUCCGACAUGUUUUCUUUUCAUCUUUUCAUGUUUUCAUGUUUUAGUUUAGAAGUUAGACAAUUAAAUUAUUUGUUUAUUUGAUUUGGUUAUUUAUUUAGUUUAUUUUUGUAAAAAAAGUAAAGUUAGAGGUACCCCGAA